AAGCUCGUAGUUGAAUUUCGGGCCUGGCUGGGUGGUCAGCUCAACGGCGCGUAUUGUCUGGCUGGGCCUUACCUCUUGGUGAGCCGGCGUGUCCUUUAUUGGAUGCGUCGGGGAACCAGGACUUUUACCUUGAGAAAAUUAGAGUGUUCAAAGCAGGCCUAUGCCCGAAUACAUUAGCAUGGAAUAAUAAAAUAGGACGUGCGGUUCUAUUUUGUUGGUUUCUAGAGUCGCCGUAAUGAUUAAUAGGGAUAGUUGGG
rnacentral:rRNA from 1 species